rnacentral:ncRNA from 1 species
AAGAUUUUUUGACAUCGGUAGCAGAAUCUCUCAUCGUUAUUUGGUUUUCUCCCCAUCACCUCAGCUUGGUAGCUGAGGUUUUU